GCCUGGGUGGCUCAGUGGCUUGAGCGUCCAACUUAGGCUCGGGUCAUGAUCUCACGGUUUGUGGGUUCGAGCCCCACAUCGGGCU
rfam:Felis catus isolate Cinnamon breed Abyssinian chromosome B1, whole genome shotgun sequence.